rnacentral:lncRNA from 1 species
GUGCGUCAAUUUGUUGCGGCCAAAUUUUUGUCGUCUAUCGUCGGUGAUGAGUACCUGCAAAACAACAUCCACACAGAUCAGAGUUGUGUCCAAUAUUUAUUUUGAAAAGCCUUUAAGAGAUAGGGCGAGCGAAAUGGGAGCAGCCUAAACCGUGAAAACGGGGUUGUGGGAGAGCAAAGGAAUCCUUCGAUGCUUAAGUCACAGAGGG